rnacentral:rRNA from 1 species
UGGGGAAUUUUGCACAAUGGAGGAAACUCUGAUGCAGCGACGCCGCGUGAGUGAUGAAGAUCUUCGGAUUGUAAAACUCUGUCCUUAGUGAAGAUAAUGACAGUAACUAAGAAGCAAGCCCUGGCUAAAUAUGUGCCAGAAGCCGCGGUAAUACGUAUGGGGCAAGCGUUUUCCGGAAUUAAUGGGCGUAAAGGGUACGUAGGCGGUUUAAUAAGUCCUAAUUAAAAGGCUAUGGCUCAACCAUAGUAUGGUUAGGAAACUGUUGAACUUGAGUAGAUGAGGGGAAAGUGGAAUUCCAUGUGUAGCGGUGAAAUGCGUAGAUAUAUGGAGGAACACCAAUGGCGAAGGCAACUUUCUGGAAUCAAACUGACGCUGAGGUACGAAGGCGUGGGGAGCAAACAGG